rnacentral:snRNA from 1 species
UAAUUUACCUGGGUGUGGGGAAUGUCGCGAUCAAGAAGGCGGGACCCCAAUGGUGAGGCCCAUGCAUUGCACUUUAGCAAGGGCUGACCUGUGUGGCAGCCCCGAGUUGAGGUUAGCCAACUUCUUACC